GAUGAACGCUGGCGGCGUGCCUAAUACAUGCAAGUCGAGCGAACAGAUGAGAAGCUUGCUUCUCUGAUGUUAGCGGCGGACGGGUGAGUAACACGUGGGUAACCUACCUAUAAGACUGGAAUAACUCCGGGAAACCGGGGCCAAUACCGGAUAAUAUUUGAACCGCAUGGUUCAAUAGUGAAAGACGGUUUCGGCUGUCACUUAUAGAUGGACCCGCGCCGUAUUAGCUAGUUGGUAAGGUAACGGCUUACCAAGGCGACGAUACGUAGCCGACCUGGGAGGGGGAUCGGCCACACUGGAGCGGAGACACGGUCCAGACUCCUACGGGAGGCAGCAGUAGGGAAUCGUCCGCAAUGGGCGAAAGCCUGACGGAGCAACGCCGCGUGAGUGAUGAAGGUCUUCGGAUCGUAAAACUCUGUUGUUAGGGAAGAACAAAUUUGUUAGUAACUGAACAAGUCUUGACGGUACCUAACCAGAAAGCCACGGCUAACUACGUGCCAGCCGCCGCAGUAA
rnacentral:rRNA from 1 species